AUUGAACGCUGGCGGCAGGCCUAACACAUGCAAGUCGAGCGGCAGCGGGAAAGUAGCUUGCUACUUUUGCCGGCGAGCGGCGGACGGGUGAGUAAUGCCUGGGGAUCUGCCCAGUCGAGGGGGAUAACUACUGGAAACGGUAGCUAAUACCGCAUACGCCCUACGGGGGAAAGCAGGGGACCUUUGGGCCUUGCGCGAUUGGAUGAACCCAGGUGUGAUUAGCGAGUUGGUGAGGUAAUGGCUCACCAAGGCGACGAUCCCUAGCUGGUCUGAGAGGAUGAUCAGCCACACUGGAACUGAGACACGGUCCAGACUCCUACGGGAGGCAGCAGUGGGGAAUAUUGCACAAUGGGGGAAACCCUGAUGCAGCCAUGCCGCGUGUGUGAAGAAGGCCUUCGGGUUGUAAAGCACUUUCAGCGAGGAGGAAAGGUCAGUAGCUAAUAUCUGCUGGCUGUGACGUUACUCGCAGAAGAAGCACCGGCUAACUCCGUGCCAGCCGCCGCUGUAA
rnacentral:rRNA from 1 species